rnacentral:rRNA from 1 species
AUUGAACGCUGGCGGCAGGCUUAACACAUGCAAGUCGAGCGGGGGAGGUUGCUUCGGUAACUGACCUAGCGGCGGACGGGUGAGUAAUGCUUAGGAAUCUGCCUAUUAGUGGGGGACAACAUUCCGAAAGGGAUGCUACUACCGCAUACGCACUACGGGGGAAAGCAGGGGAUCUUCGGACCUUGCGCUAAUAGAUGAGCCUAAGUCGGAUUAGCUAGUUGGUGGGGUAAAGGCUCACCAAGCCGACGAUCUGUAGCUGGUCUGAGAGGAUGAUCAGCCACACUGGAACUGAGACACGGUCCAGACUCCUACGGGAGGCAGCAGUGGGGAAUAUUGGACAAUGGGCGCAAGCCUGAUCCAGCCAUGCCGCGUGUGUGAAGAAGGCCUUCGGGUUGUAAAGCACUUUCAGCGAGGAGGAAGGGUUGUGUGUUAAUAGUACACAGCCUUGACGUUACUCGCAGAAGAAGCACCGGCUAACUCUGUGCCAGCCGCCGCGGUAACAC